rnacentral:rRNA from 1 species
GUCCAGACUCCUACGGGAGGCAGCAGUGGGGGAUAUUGCACAAUAGGGGAAACCCUGAUGCAGCGACGCCGCGUGGGUGAAGAAGCGCCUCGGCGCGUAAAGCCCUGUCAGCAGGGAAGAAAAUGACGGUACCUGAAGAAGAAGCCCCGGCUAACUACGUGCCAGCAGCCGCGGUAAUACGUAGGGGGCAAGCGUUAUCCGGAUUUACUGGGUGUAAAGGGGGCGCAGACGGCGAUGCAAGCCAGGAGUGAAAGCCCGGGGCCCAACCCCGGGACUGCUCUUGGAACUGCGUGGCUGGAGUGCAGGAGGGGCAGGCGGAAUUCCUGGUGUAGCGGUGAAAUGCGUAGAUAUCAGGAGGAACACCGGUGGCGAAGGCGGCCUGCUGGACUGCAACUGACGUUGAGGCCCGAAAGCGUGGGGAGCAAACAGGAUUAGAUACCCUCGUAC